GGAGGUUGUAGCUCAGUCGGUUAGAGCGUCGGUUUGUGGCACCGAAGGCCGCGGGUUCGAAUCCCGUCUUCCUCCC
rnacentral:tRNA from 1 species